rnacentral:lncRNA from 1 species
UGACUGUGGUGGUGCUGGUGACUGUGGUGGUGCUGGUGACUGUGGUGGUGCUGGUGACUGUGGUGGUGCUAGUGACUGUGGUGGUGCUGGUGGUGGUGACUAUGGUGAUGGUUGUGGUGCUGGUGACUGUGGUGGUGCUGGUGACUGUGGUGGUGCUGGUGACUGUGGUGGUGCUUGUGGUGGUGGUAGUGGUAGUGGAGGUGGUGGUACUGCUGCUGCUGCUGCUACAAUUAAAGGGGAAUGCACAGGUUAAACAUGCACAUCAGUAGACAGAAGCUUAAGGACCACCUUUUGCAAGUGCUAUGCUUGGUAACUGACAUAAGCUCUAGUAUGUGAGAGAUACAUAAUAACUACAUGGAUUGCCCAAUUGAAGCAGAGCUGAAUGAAGAU